rnacentral:rRNA from 1 species
CCUACGGGAGGCUGCCGUGAGGAAUAUUGGUCAAUGGACGAGAGUCUGAACCAGCCAAGUAGCGUGAAUGAUGACUGCCCUAUGGGUUGUAAACUUCUUUUAUAUGGGAAUAAAAUGUUCCACGUGUGGGUUUUUUCAUGUACCAUAUGCAUAAGGAUCGGCUAACUCCGCGCCAGCAGCCCCGGUAAUACGGUGGAUCCGAGCGUUAUCCGGAUUUAUUGGGUUUAAAGGGAACGUAGGUGGAUUGUUAAGUUAGUUGUGAAAGUUUGGGGCUCAACCGUACAAUUGCAGUUGAAACUGGCAGGCUUGAGUACAGUAGAGGUGGGUGGAAUUCGAGGUGUAGCGGUGAAAUGCGUAGAGAUCACGAAGAACUCCGAUGGCGAAGGCAGCUCACUGGACUGCAACUGACACUGAGGCGCGAAAGUGUGGGUAUCAAACAGGAUUAGAUACCCUAGUAGUC